GCUUGAGACCGCCGCCUAGCUCCGUAUUUCCAACUCCGAUUUCGAUUAGGAUUAGAACCUGCGUUACGGAAGGUAUUGAACCGCCAAAAAUAACAAACUAUAAAAAGAACACGAAAGAUUGGUUCUUCAAUCUUUACAAAUCUUGUAGAUGAUACCCUUCUCUUUCUUUCUAUAGACAAGUAGCUGUUUUUCAUUCAGUUCUUUUUCAACGUUCUUGUUUCUUCACCAGCUAAUUAUGUUAACCAAUCAAAACGCACGAACAACUAAACUUCAGAGGGAGGAACUUGAAAUUGAAGAUAGAGGGUCUGUUAUAGUUGACAAUGAUGACGACGAAACUGGGGAUGCUGGUGCUGAUAACGGUGAGGCUCAUUCGGGUUAUAAUAAUGACAGUUUCGAGGAUUUUACUCGCAAUGGAAUGGUCAAGAUUGGAGAAGGAACCCUGGAGCAUGACAUAAUCAAGAAGACUUUGCUCGAGGGUGUGGGAAGAUAUGCAAAGGAUACGAAGAUUGUGGCCAUACACAAGAAUUCCGUUUCUGGUUCAGUAGGAAAAGCUCGGUGGCUUACUUUCAGGAUUUUUGCAAAGGCGGUGGCUGAAAGGCGGGCUGGGAAUGCUAAUCUGCGGUUUGCUUGGUAUGGUGCUUCGAGGGAGGAGAUUUGUCAAGUCAUAUCCCAUGGAUAUAGUCAGUGUGGUGAAACCGCUAAAGGUCAAUCUCAUGGGGUUGGCAUUUCUCUGUCUCCUGCAAAAUUUUCCAUUAAUAGUGUGGAAUCAUCGGCCGUUGAUGAAAAUGGUCUAAGGCAUAUAUUGUUAUGCCGCGUAAUACUAGGAAAGAUGGAAACCAUUCCUGCUGGUUCCAUGCAAUUUCAACCAAGUUCAACAGAGUUCGAUUCUGGAGUUGACAAUAUUGUAGAGCCUAGAAGAUUCAUCGUGUGGAAUGCUUUCAUGAAUUCUCACAUCUUCCCUGAUUACAUCAUCAGUAUUAAGGCCCCUUCCUUUACUGGUAUGAAGAGAAAUCAAAUGAGGCCCCUAAGACCCACCUCACCAUGGAUGAGCUUUCCUGUUUUGUUGUCUAUAUUGUCACAGUUUUUAGAUCCUUCUAAGAUGGCUUUGAUUUUCAAAUUUCAUGAUGACUUUAAAAAAAAAAAGAUUACAAGGCUGCAACUAAUCCGAAGGGUGAGGCAGAUAUCUGGAGACGAGCUGUUAGUUCACAUAAUUAGAUCUUGCAAGGAAAGGUAUAACUUUCUGUGUCAAUUCUCUAUCUCAGGGGUAUCAUCCGAAUAUGUAAAGGUAUAGCAGAAAUCUUGACUUUUGAUCCUCUGGUUAGGUUCGGUAGCUGGAGAAGUAUGACUAGAAAAAUAUUUCGAUAGUUUCCUGCCUAAGCAAUGAUUGUGGCUGGACACAGUUUACUAGUCUGUGAAUCUGAAUAGCCGUUUUGAUAUUAAACCAUUUGCUGAAAUAAAAUUAAAGGAAAAAAGAAACUAUCACUCACUUUCAUUGUAUGGACCAGGGAAUCCAAAUUGUCUGCAAAGCAACACUUAACAGGAAAAAGAAAAGGUAAAGGAAUAGAAAUAAAGAGAGGAUGAGAGUUAUCAAAGCUUUAUAUUUGCUUGGUUGGGGAGCAUUUGACAAUAUGAACACGGAAUCCACAAAAGAACUUAUUAUGUUAUGAUUCAGUUCUUUAUUCUCCAACUAAAAGAUUGAAAAUCUUAUUCUAAUGCAGCUUGUGAUCAGAGCAUCUAGCAGUGGCAGCAAAAAAUGACAUUCUUCCAAUCUGCAGCCAGCUUUUGUGACAACAUCCAGAAGCAGCAACAAAUACGAGAAGAAAUGUAGAGUAGCUGAGAUUGAUAGCAUUCUUUUAGAAUAUUUGAUAUUACAGGUGUUACAGGUGCAGUUGUUCUAGCAAUUAUGUCAAUUUACAAGAUUGGUUUCUUGGAUUUUAUUUCAAGUACAAAUUUACAAGAUUGAUUGGAUUUUGGUUCAAGUUCCAGUUCUUUGUCAUAGUGAAAUGAAUGGAUUUUACUGCGAAUAUUAUGUCCCA
rnacentral:misc_RNA from 1 species